rnacentral:rRNA from 1 species
GAUGAACGCUGGCGGCGUGCCUAAUACAUGCAAGUCGAGCGAACGGACGAGAAUCUUGCUUCUCUGAUGUUAGCGGCGGACGGGUGAGUAGCACGUGGAUAACCUACCUAUAAGACUUGGAUAACUUCGGGAAACCGGAGCCAAUACCGGAUAAUAUUUUGAACCGCAUGGUUCAAAAGUGAAAGACGGUCUUGCUGUCACUUAUAGAUGGAUCCGCGCUGCAUUAGCUAGUUGGUAAGGUAACGGCUUACCAAGGCAACGAUGCAUAGCCGACCUGAGAGGGUGGUCGGCCACACUGGAACGGAGACACGGUCCAGACUCCUACGGGAGGCAGCAGUAGGGAAGCUUGCGCAAUGGGCGAAAGCCUAACGGAGCAACGCCGCGUGAGUGAUGAAGGUCUUCGGAUCGUAAAACUCUGUUAUUUGGGAAGAACAUAUGUGUAAGUAAAUGUGCACAUCUUGACGGUACCUAAUCAGAAAGCCACGGCUAACUACGUG